UACGGAGGGGGCUAGCGUUGUUCGGAAUUACUGGGCGUAAAGGGCGCGUAGGCGGUCUGUUGCGUCAGGCGUGAAAGCCCUGGGCUCAACCUGGGAGGUGCGCUUGAAACGGGCGGGCUUGAGACCGGGAGAGGAGAGUGGAAUUCCCAGUGUAGAGGUGAAAUUCGUAGAUAUUGGGAAGAACACCGGUGGCGAAGGCGGCUCUCUGGCCCGGUUCUGACGCUGAGGCGCGAAAGCGUGGGGAGCAAACAGG
rnacentral:rRNA from 1 species